AUCCUGAACCUGAAUGUCCAGCUUCGCCUUGUUCUUUGUGGAUUAUAAGACCAUUGAUUAAAUAAAUCCUUUCAUCAAAAUUAUCUUAAAAAAGAAACUACCAUCUAAAUCCAGUUAUUCCAUCUGACUUGGUAGCAGUGAUGUUUGGAGUUUAGGACCUAAAGGUGAAAUGGGGAAAAUCUGGGUGCUCGGAAAGACACCAGAAGCACACAGAAGAAGAUCAUAUGAAGACACAACAAGAAGGUGACUAGCUGCAAGCCAAGAAGAGAAGCCUCAGAAGAAAUCAAACGUACUAGCACCUUGAUCUUGGAAUUCCAGUCUCCAAAGCUGCGAGAAAAUAAAAUUCUGUUGCUUAAGCUGCCAAGACUAUGGUAUUUUCUUAUGGCAAUCUUAGCAAAAUAACCC
rnacentral:lncRNA from 10 species